AAAAAUAACCAUGAUGAUUUGAAGGACAAAGAAUAUACGAAUUAAACGCCUAAGAAUAUUGUAAUUAUGGGGGGACAGUCCUUCAUCCCAUCAUCAGUGCCUGCAACCUUUGCUCCUUCACCUACUCCUGCUGUGGUCAGCAGUGGUCUGAAUGACCUAUUUGAACUCUCCACGGGGAUAGGCAUGGCACCUGGUGGAUAUGUGGCUCCUAAGGCUGUAAGUAAAACAACACUUUCUUAGUGGACACGACCUGAAUUAUUUAGCAUCUGACAUUUGUGUUACUCUCACUGAUAAUAAAUCCAAGGUUGGGGCUCUUUUUCUAGAGGAUUUACGAGGAGGAUGAAAGGCGGCCUUAAACCUAGCAAUAAGAAGCACCAUAGCAUCCUUAUUAACCAUUUGUAUAAUUAGACUUAAAAUUGGAAAUAGUAAGCAUUUAGUAUUUGUUCUCUAGUUUAGAAAUAUUGCCUAGCUUGUCAACAGGGAAGUCAGUCUAGUGUAGAUCUGAUAUGCAGAGCAACA